rnacentral:lncRNA from 1 species
GUACAGUAGAGGAGUGGUAGAGGGAGAGAUGAAUGAGGAGAAGGAGGUAGAGGAGUGGUAGAUAGAGAGAUGAAUGAGGAGAAGGAGGUAGAGGAGUGGUAGAGGGAGAGAUGAAUGAGGAGAAGGAGGUAGAGGAGUGGUAGAGGGAGAGAUGAAUGAGGAGAAGGAGGUAGAGGAGUGGUAGAGGGAGAGAUGAAUGAGGAGAAGGAGGUAGAGGAGUGGUAGAGGGAGAGAUGAAUGAGGAGAAGGAGGUACAGUAGAGGAGUGGUAGAAGGAGAGAUGAAUGAGGAGAAGGAGGUACAGCAGAGGAGUGGUAGAGGGAGAGAUGAAUGAGGAGAAGGAGGUAGAGGAGUGGUAGAGGGGGAGAUGAAUGAGGAGAAGGAGGUACAGUAGAGGAGUGGUAGAAGGAGAGAUGAAUGAGGAGAAGGAGGUACAGCAGAGGAGUGGUAGAGGGAGAGAUGAAUGAGGAGAAGGAGGUAGAGGAGUGGUAGAGGGGGAGAUGAAUGAGGAGAAGGAGGUACAGUAGAGGAGUGGUAGAGGGAGAGAUGAAUGAGGAGAAGGAGGUAGAGGAGUGGUAGAGUGAGAGAUGAAUGAGGGGAAGGAGGUAGAGGAGUGGUAGAAGGAGAGAUGAAUGAGGAGAAGGAGGCACAGUAGAGGAGUGGUAGAGGGAGAGAUGAAUGAGGAGGAGGAGGUACAGUAGAGGAGUGGUAGAAGGAGAGAUGAAUGAGGAGAAGGAGGUAGAGGAGUGGUAGAGGGAGAGAUGAAUGAGGAGAAGGAGGUACAGUAGAG